ensembl:lncRNA
UGAGUCUGGUGUCAGUGCAGCUGUAUAUGAUCAGACCCAGCGCUCGGCUGCAGCUUUAUUUCCCAUGAUGCUCUCUGUUUUCUCAGCUGCUGUCCGUCACUCUGUUGACUCACAUGGAGGAAAGUGUGUUUUCCCUACAAACCAGGAUUCAAAGCUUCCGCAGAGACAGAUGUGUGUGUGUGUGUGUGUGUGUGUGAUAUUUGACCUUUGACCUUCAGAUAAUAAACAACAAACCUGUGUGUCUCUGGCUCUGUGGAGCAGCAGCAGUAUAAUCGUGUUAAUAAAGUUACACUAAAGCUGAUUAGGUGAUGAAUGUGUGUCUCAUCUGUCUGACCUGAACAACAAUACAGGUCACACGGACAGGAAAUCACCAGCACACUUCCUGUUUCUCCACAGGGCCCUGCAGCUCAGUGCUGCUGACGGGACAGAAACACUUCUGAUCAAGGCUCAGUGUUUAUCUGACACUCACACAUCAAUUUAUUCAGCUUCCAGAUGAUGCAUUAAUCUCCAUUUCAGACAAAUUAACCCUUAUGACUGCUUCUCCAGGGUCACACAUGUUUUAAUAUUUAGAAUUGAUAUUUCGAGGCAUUUGGAUUUGCAGAAAAUGUUUUUGUUGUUGUUGUUUUUCUUAUCUCUGUUCACAGAGUUCUCUUGCUGCGUCAGUAAAACGCGAUCCGUCUCGUCGUGUUGUUUGUCCUCUUUCGGACGCCGUGUGUUAGUGUCGCGCAUGCGCAGUCAGAGCGGUCGCUUCAGGGUAGCAUGCACUUGAGUUUGUUACCUGCUCUUUGAAUUAAAAACAUUAUGAUCUGAUUGUUUUACAUUGUUAUUAUUGUUACAAAUAUUAUAUCGCAGCUAACGUUAUAUAAAAGCGUUUAUAAGAAGAAGAAGGACGGAAGACGAAGCGGAAUGAAUCAGUUUGAACAUUUGAAGGAGGAAGACUGUGGUGAGCAGGAGAUGAAGGACAGUAACGAGAGUGACGGAGGAUCAGUAAACAACAACAACAACAACAUCAGACGCAAGGUGACACACUCACAUACAUACACACACUCACACACACACACACACACUCACUCUCAAACACACACACACACACACUCUCAAACACACACACACACACUCACACGCUCAAACACACACACACGCACGCACACACAC